UUUGACGAUUGACUACUCUAUGCGGUGGAUCACUCGGCUCGUGUAUCGAUGAAGAGCGCAGCCAGCUGCGUGAAUUAAUGUGAAUUGCAGGACACGUUGAACAUCGACACC
rnacentral:rRNA from 1 species